GGUCUCCCUCUGUUGUCCAAGGCUGGAGUGUAGUAGUGCUAUCACAGCUGACUGCAGCCUCAACCUUCCAGGCUGAAGCGAUCCUCCCAUCUCAACCUCCCACGUGGCUGAGACUAUAGGUGCUUGCCACUAUGCCCAACUAAUAUUUGGAAUUUUCCUAUACGUGGAUUCCAGAGGGGUGACAGUGAAAC
rnacentral:lncRNA from 1 species